CAUAUGGCAGGCAGUGGGUGGCUCUUAUACCCAAGGUAAGGGCGUGGCUGGCGGGGGAGGAUCUACAGGGCCCCUCUUAUGGGACUCUCAGGCCCUUGGCUUCUCCUAGAGCGCACCCUAGUCUCUCUUCCCUCGCCGGCUUCCCUAGUGAUCAGCCAGGACCCAAAUCAGCUGGGUCCCCUCCCCUAGGCCCCCCUACAAAGAGGAAGUGCUGAUGAACUUCACCCCAUCAGAGCCUUAUCGGAGCCCAUAAAGCCCUGCCAGGCUUUUGUUGGCAGAGGGAGGGUGAGACCAGGCAGGGCAGGGCAGGGCUGCUGGAGUGACCCAGGACAGCUGGGCAGCGGAAGAGGAGGAUGUGGGGCGGAACCUCAAGUAUCUGCCUCUCCCAGCAACUGUGAAGAGACUUACAUUGAUUGCAUGCCCACUGCACGUCUUUACCAGCUACUCGAGAGGCUGAGGCAGGAAGAUCACUUGCGUCAAGGUUCCAGUGAGCUAUGAUCAUGCCACCCGCACUCCAGCCUGGGUGACAAGGUUCCAGUGAGCUGUGAUCAUGCCACCGCACUCCAGCCUGGGUGACAAGGUUCCAGUGAGCUGUGAUCAUGCCACCGCACUCCAGCCUGGGUGACAAGGUUCCAGUGAGCUGUGAUCAUGCCACCGCACUCCAGUCUGGGUGACAGAUGAAGACCCUGUCUCUAAAAAUAACAAUAACAGUCAUCAUAAUAAUCAUAAUAGUAACAACCUCAUAGAGUCUUCGGUCAUUAAGGUAAUAAAUGCUCAGAAUAAGA